UCAACGUGGGACCUAUUCUCAGUUCAGUG
rnacentral:piRNA from 1 species